UGACUGCCUUGUGUAUGCUGGAGAACUUUGUUGAGCUAACUUCUGGUGAUGCUAUUGUGCAAAAUGGUGCAACUAGCAUUGUGGGACAGUGCAUUAUUCAGCUUGCAAAAAUUAAGGGUGUCAGCAGCAUAAAUAUAAUUAGAGACCGAAAUCAAUAUCCAUAGCAAAUGUCUGGUCAGGAGCAUCGCCAUAUAAGUCAUGAACCAUAUUUUCUUUGAACCGGUCUAGUACUCUAUAUAUUAAAAUUCUAAGGCUUAAGUUUUUUUCUUGCCUCUCGGCUUUUGCUGUUUUGCCUUGCCAGUUACAAAACUGGCUGUGGAUGCUUUAACACGCUGUUGUGCCUACUUGUUUUAGUGUAUAGUCCGUUAAAUGAGCUUUAUAUAUGGUAUAUCUGUACGGAAACACAAUUUCUUAUCCUGAGUAAUCAACAUACACUUUUGG